rnacentral:rRNA from 1 species
UACGGGGGGGGCAAGCGUUGUUCGGAAUUACUGGGCGUAAAGGGCUCGUAGGCGGCCAACUAAGUCGGACGUGAAAUCCCCAGGCUCAACCUGGGAACUGCGUCCGAUACUGGAUGGCUUGAAUCCGUGAGAGGGAUGUGGAAUUCCAGGUGUAGCGGUGAAAUGCGUAGAUAUCAGGAGGAACACCGGUGGCGAAGGCGGGUCUCUGGGCCGAUACUGACGCUGAGGAGCGAAAGCGUGGGGAGCGAACAGG